GACGACGACAACAACAACAACAAGCAUCCAUUACCAACUAUUUGGAUUCAGUAAAAUGGAACCUCAAUCAUGUCUAGUGAAGCCACGAUCCACAUUGUCAUACUAAGCAGUCUCUUGAGUGAGCAACGAUCCAUCGGGCGCUGCCGGAACAAUUUGUUGCUGGAGGGCUGGAUUAGAAGGAAAUAAUCCACAUUGUGCUGUGUGCGCCAUCAGUUGAUCCAACAGCACCAGAGCUACCAUGGCUUCUACCAUCGGAACGGCUGAAGAACAUCAAAUAAGUCCUCGAUGUGAAUGUUAAAUUGGAGCAAACCAGAUGAAGGGAUGGAUUGGAAAUGAAAUCAGACCUCGAGGGACUACACAGGGAUCGUGGCGGCCUCUUGCUAUAAGCUCAGUUUCGUGUCGGUCUCUAGUUACUGUAUUCUGCUUUUUCUGAUGAAAUGGACAAAUCAUAAUAAGAUGCAUAAUACAACUAAGAAACAAAUGUAUAUAAAAGUACUUCAACGAUGAGCCUACACUAAGGGAUUUCACUGUUGCAUUGUGUUACUCCCACGACGGAGUACAAAAUUUGCUUUCCACCAAGGAUAUGAGAUGGUUAUUGAAAUGAAACCAUUUAUUCAGAAAAAAAAGGUAAGAUUUUGUUUCCAUUUUAACAUCACAUAAGGGCUAAAAAUCGUUAAUUCAACAGAGAUCAGAGAGGCGCAUGGAAUGUCAUUUAUACUAACAAACAUACGUUGAUUUAAAGCCAGCUUACCCCAAUUGUAGAUGUUGGUUUAAAAGCUAUUCUCAUAUAUAUGGUUUCACCAUUGGAUAUCCCUCCCUGUAAAGAGGAAUCGUUAUAUUUCAGAAAGCCAGAGUAUAGGCAAGGUCAAACUCCAUAAAAAUGUAGAUAAUUAACACAAAGACAGACAGACCUGUAUACCGCCCGAUCGAUUUGUUCUUGUUCGCACAUUGCCAAGCUCAUCCAUGUAGAACUCAUCGUUAUGCUCACUUCCAGUCAAAAAAGUACCUAAAAGGUGGUUUUGAGCCAAUAACAGAGAGAAAACAAUCAAAAGAUCAGAUGCUUACAAUGGAAAUGCUGAUGAAGAUAUCGAUGGUGUUAGUAGAGCAUCAGACAAGAUAAUGCCGGUCCACACUCCAUGAUUACUUACCUGCAAAUCCGCUGCCAAACUCAAAUCCCUUUGUUGCAGGCAGAGACAACAUAGCUUUUGCCAAAUCAGCCUCCAGUUUAUCAAAGACAGGACACCCAAGUCCCUGAUAGAUAUCAGUGGAUGAGUUUGAGAAAUAUAAGAAAACACAUCCAGCAAUUAAGUUUUCCAAUUAAUCCAAGUCACAAAGGACAGAAUACUUCAAAUCAUAGGUGAAAUAAUUACACGUGGAACAUUUCUUGCAAUGCAAGUCACGAUGCCACCAACAGAUUCUCCUUUAACUCGCACAGCAUCAAUGGCCUCAAUCAUCUUCUGAGCAUAUUCUGGAUCCGGGCAUCUGACUAUAUUACUCUCAAUCUGGUAAUUUUUCAGCAGAAAUGCAGUCAUUUAACCAUAAUACUAAAGGGAAAAAAAGAGGAAUAAUAUUUUGAAGAAUUGAUCGACAUUAUACCUCAUCAAGGGUCACCGUCUCAUUAUCAACAACCCCUUCAGGAAGCACAACUUUAUGAACUUGAGAAACAUAUGCUAGGAUCUGUGGGAAAGGAACAAAAGUGAUGUUAAAAUCAAAUAGACCUAUAACCAUUAUGCAACCACCGAAGCAUUACGUAUUUUCUAACUGACAACCACUGCAGGUGGAAGCAUUGAAACCAGUUAAUUAGCAUGUUCAUAUAACCAUGUUAGAUGACCAUAUUAUGCUUGAACAGAUUAGAUACGGGAAACAAUGGUGGGAUGUACAAGGACAGUGACAUAGAACUUCAGAUCUGCACAUCAGACUUAGAAUCAUUCAUGAUAAGGUAAUUGCAAUUGCUUGCCGUUCACAGUACCCGACAAAUUGCAGAAGCCUGAAGUGCACCUUAUGCACUUUUAUCUGCAAACUUAAUAUCAUAAAAUAUUUUAAUAGUUUACACCGACAAAGAACUGGUUACUUCUAACUGUAUUAUGGAUAUUCAGAACACACACACUACAAAUCAUACUGUCCAAAAACCAUGCCUACUCUAUCCUGGCCAGUAUUCCAGAGCACAAUAAACAGAGGAUGAUCAACUUUCAAGCAGCAUUAACCGAUAUAUGGGGUAAAGGGCAGAGAAAUCCAGAUAACUAAAAUCUCCAAUUCAAGAAUAAGAUAUAAAAGCAAGUGUGAGAUCAACGCAUCAUAAGUGUAUGAUAGGUUACCUACAGCAUAAGUUCAACUUCAGAAUUUACGAAAAAACAUGUGAACAUAAGACAACACAUAAACCCACCUCAGUUCCAGCAUACAUUUUAAGAAUCUUCUUUGCAAGAGCUCCAGCAGCAACUCUACCGAUGGUUUCUCUUGCUGAUGAUCUGCCACCUCCCUAUAGUUCCAUUUCAGUAAACAUCAAUUGUGGAUAUUUGAAGAUUAUCAUGAUAAAUAUCAACGAAAAUAGACAUUUCAUGAGUAUAAAACAUAUACUACAGAGUACAGACUGGACUCUAAGACUAUUUAAAGAUACGAUAGCAACAAGAAGGAACAUCUGUUACCUGUAUCGCUCUCAGACCAUACUUAAAGUCAUAUGUUGCGUCUGCAUGAGAAGGCCUAUAUGCAAUUGACAUUUCACUAUAGUCCUGCAAAAAUCAAACAUGAGAUUAUUAUAAACGAAAAGAAGGUAAAUAUAUAAACAUAGCUUCCAACCUCAGGAGGGGAAUCAUGCUAAGUUAGAUUUGACUUUUAUUUGAUGGCUUUUUUAUUAAAACCAUGAAGCAACAGUACUAGAUGAAACUUUCAGGUGUUGACUGAACUGUUUUGUAUCUGAAUGAAUACAAUAGUCUUACUGUCACAGCAAGAACUCACAUGUCCUCUUUGAUCUGUAUUUGGUACAAAAACACAAAUUGAAGUUCCAGUUGUCGUUCCUACAAUAAAAAAAAUUCUUACAUCAGCAAACUAGAGCAUGCUAAUUCAUAGGGUUAUGUUAUAUGAUAGCAGAACAACAAAAGGAAAGAUUAAAAAAAAACAAGAGAAAACCGUGUGACCUACCUUCAAAUAGUCCCGAGAGAAUUCGACAUGUAUCAGUUUCCUUCCUUGGUGUGGUUAUCCUGCUCUGACCUGGUCUCCUGGAGGUCAAACAUAAAUGUUAAACUAAAUCACACCCAGUCAAAUGUAGUGAAAACAAAAUACACGGAAAGGACAGAGUAAGUGCCAGUAAAGCUCCAAACCUUCUGUCAAGUUCAAAUUGCAAAUCCUCUUCAGAAAGAGGAAUUCUAGGGGGGCAUCCACUAAUAAUACAACCAACACCACCUCCAUGAGAUUCUCCAUAGGUUGUGACUUCAAAGUGCUUUCCAAAUUUAUCUCCACCUGCCCGCACCUCUGUCCUUUUGAAAAUCGACUUUCCAGUUAGAGUUUAGAACAUCAGUAAUUAAAUAUAGAAUACAGCCAUCUUUAAAUAAGUUAACAAAUGAGAUUUUGAAUGCCCAUUUCCAAGGAACGACAAACAACAAUCCUGGUAGGAAAACUACAUAGCAUGUGCAAUCAAAUCUAACACGCUAUGUCAAAUGGACAAUAUAUAUGAUACAAGCAUUUAGAACGUGGUAACGGAUGCAUACAUCAAUAAUAAAUACGGCAGCAGCUAUGGUCAGCAACAGUAAGUAUUAGGUGGUGGAAAGAACGGAAUCUCCUCCGUCGCAUAAGCUUCCCCAACUUCUUUAAUUAUACUCUUAAUUUUGAUCUCCGAAUAUACUAUCAACCCCACACCCUUCUUUAUCUAAUGCAAGAAAUGUUUGCGAGCAUAUUCCCAACAUCAAGCUGAGGAAAUAAAAAGGGAAAAUGCCUCUAACAGAAUUUUAGCCUCAAAAAGACAUGAUCGACCGAUCGGCCAUCAAAUUCACAAAGACUGGCACUCAAGAAGCAAAGAUCUCUCUUUUUCCCUUUCACAAAGACAGCAAGAUACUAUGAUCAUCAUCAACGUAAGGAAACCAUAGGAAGACAGGUAAGGGGUGGGAGGAGGAAAAAAGAUCACCGAGCCUUCGAGGAGCAGGGGAAAUCCGCCGCCGGAUGGAGAUCUGGUCGACGGUGGAGGGCAGCCGGAAGGCGAGGCCGGACAAGCCGUCGGUUCUCGAUCCCCCGAGGAAGGGUUUCGAAGAAGGCAAGGAAGCCGAAGCCGCAGAC
rnacentral:lncRNA from 1 species